GCGCAGCAGGCGAGAAACUUUACAAUGUGCGAAAGCACGAUAAGGGAACUCUGAGUGCCUCCUAAGGAGGCUGUUCAGGUGUCUAAAAGCACCUGAAGGAAGGGCCGGGUAAGACCGGUGCCAGCCGCCGCGGUAACACCGGCAGCCCAAGUGGUAGCCACGUUUAUUGGGUCUAAAGCGUCCGUAGCCGGCUGGGUAAGUUCCUUGGGAAAUUUGGCUGCUUAACAGUCAAGCUUUCAGGGAAUACUGCCCGGCUUGGGACCGGGAGAGGUCAGAGGUACUCCAGGGGUAGGGGUGAAAUCCAUUAAUCCUUGGGGGACCACCGGUAGCGAAGGCGUCUGACCAGACCGGGUCCGACGGUGAGGGACGAAGGCUAGGGGCGCGAACCGGAUUAGAUA
rnacentral:rRNA from 1 species